AAGAAGAACCGUAAUACCAGUUUCGGAGCUUACGUGUUUAACUCUAUGGAUUAACUUAACAUCACUACAAAGCUCUUUAUAUUAUGCCUUUAAUCGUUUGUUGAGUAAUUUAUACAGAACUAGUCUGUUUUGUUGAAGUGCUGUAUCGCGACUGUUGAAAGUGAUUUUAUAACUUGAUCAUCUUCUUUUAUGGCAGAUUACGAUUCAGAGAUGCUCAUCUUUGUUUAUAGAGUAAAUUGACAAGCAGAAUGAUACCAGUUACUAAUGGAAGCCAAUUGAAAACAAGAAUGUCCACAACAGCUGGCUGGUUCUAAUGAUUGUGGGAUCUUCAUAUUGAUGGUUAGCAGUUCACAAGAUGGAGCAGAUACAGGUCUUCUCUGUCCCUCGUAAGUUUGUGUUUGGACACCAAGGUCAAGACAACAGAACAACAGAAGUGCACACAUCUAGAUGUGACUCACUGCUGACUUGACACAGAGAUUAGAGGGUCUUACCGAUUGGGGUUUUCGUUUGUGGAAUGUUGGAUCAACAUGCAGAAGAUCAAGACAGCAGCAACAAUCAACAGAGAUCCAGCAACAGAAGAGACCAGCACUAUGUACAGCAUGGGUCCUCCUCCAUCCCCAGACUGUCUGAUGGACAUCUUGACUUGGAUGAAACAACAUCACCUGCAGCUCAACCUGGCAAAGACAGACCUUCUCAUCUUCCCAGUCACUCCAACUGUUCAGUACAAUCUCACUAUCCAGCUGGGAUCAACAACAAUACUCCUAUCAACAACAAUCACCAUGCCAUGAAAGAGGACAUGGCAAAAGACACUUGAUCCUGCAGAGUGCUGAAGACGACGGGUGGAUCUGAGAGAGAGAAAAUUAACCUAACUUUUGCCCCAACUGCAAAGCAUUAACCCUGAGGAAGGUGAUGCCACCACCACUCCAGUUGAUGUUGGAAUGGUGAUUGAGGGUGUUGAAGUGCUUGACGAUUUGGGAGACAUCGCUUCUGCAAAUGCACUCUAAUGGGUGUCAUAUAUGCAAUGAACCUCAGUUAUCCUCAGGAACUAUUUGAGGUGCUUCAGAAAAUCCUCCUCCAGCUGGAUGCUACCAGACUCUCAACCAAGGUACGCAACCCUCUACAUUGUGUUUUAGGUGUGGAUACAGACAAAGUGACCAUGAUGAAUGAAGAUUCAGUCACUCUACAGACCGGUGUUAAAAUCCUUUUAGAAGAUGGAAAAUGGUAUUACAAUUACAUUCGUAUAGCUGAAAUCAAUGGAGAUCAGAGUUAUAACUGCACAUAACUGCGUUGAGCACAUAAGAACCGGUGAACCAUUUUCUUCAACCGGUUUAUUGAAUCGAACUGUCCAAUAUAACUACCGGUGAUCCGAAAACCAAUGCAACCGGUUCUUGGCUCGGCUCGUUGUUCAUCUUCAGUUCUCUCUUCACAGUAGUUCAGUCAGUGUACUGUUUGAGUGCAUGCAUUACUCCGGGAUAUUGGUUUGUUUUAACUCAGAGGGAGUGUCAGCCACAUUAAAAAAGUGAACAGCUUAAGUCAUUUGUGGAUUAAUGCGUAUUGGAGAUGAGAACAGUUUAAAACGAUUCAGUUUGAUUUGGUGAACUGGUUCAAGAAGAUCUGGUUACAUUGAAUGAUUCGUUCGCGAACCAGAUAUCACAAACUGCUUUGUUUUUAACUGUCUUACAACAGACACGGAAGAAAAGACAAUGCUGAAUAAAGUCAUAGUUUUUGCUAUUUUUGGACCAAAAUGUAUUUUCGAUUCUUCAACAAAUUCUAACGGACCCUCUGAUGUCACAUGGACUACUUUGAUGACGUUUUUCUUACCUUUCUGGACAUGGACAGUAUACCGUACACACAGCUUCAAUGGAGGGACUGAGAGCUCUCGGACUAAAUCUAAAAUAUCUUAAAUUGUGUUCCGAAGAUAAACGGAGGUCUUACGGGUUUGGAACGACAUGAGGGUGAGUUAAAAUGAGGGUGAGACAUGAGGGUGAGUUAUAUAGUUACAUAAUUUUGAUUACUGGGUGAACCAACCCUUUAAAUUAUGCCCUGCUCAUCACACUACUAUUAUAUUCUGCCAGAGUGGACUGCAACUGUAAUGCAUUGUCAUUUGGACUACUGUGGUACUGCUCUUUGUUACAUCUGUAAUAAAUAGUUAUGAUU